CCGCUCUGCCCCAUGUCCCAGUGCUUGUUUGGAGUGGGGGCCGAGGCCCACAGAGGGAAGCCUGGAUGACCCUGAACCUUCCCGGCACCCAGAGCCCGACAGCUGAGCAUUUGCCGCUAUCUGUACUCUGUGGCAACGUCCCCCUCUCCUGACUGCCUGUGACUUAAAUCUGGGCUCUAUGGCCCAGAAGGACAGAUGGGGCGAGGCAGUGGCUUUUGGACAGUCAAAAGAACUCCUCUUCAGUUAUGCAGACUUGGUUCAAAGGUACCAUGGGGAAAGGUCCCAGAAACAGUGGGAAGACCAGGUAUUCAAGCUGUCCUUUCUCAGAUCCUAGAUCUUACAGGCGUAGGACGGCCUGACAGUGGUGGUGGUAUUAAGGACACAGAAGCUACCAGGGUGGCCUGGAAGUGGAGACUGCGCAAGCGGGUUUUGUAUUCCGGAACCGACAGCAUCUGUCCCGAAGUCAACGCCAGGAUUGCACCCAUCCCACCAGGGGCCCCACCGCCCCACCGCCCCACCGCAGCCUGGUGUGGGGGGUCAGCGGGCUGCCCGGCAUUCCCCUCAAGAAAAAUAAGCACAAUCCCAAAAUGAGCACACAAAAAUAAGCACAAUCCCAUCUACCUUGAACCCCGGGUGGGAACUGGCCAUUAAAGGUGUAAAACUGGGACUCAGAGGCGCGAGCGCAGUGGCGGUAGGGGAGCGGGGCCCACGCAGCCCCGGUCACAGCGAGAGCCCCGAUGGAGGCGGCCGAGGCCGCCGGGCAGCACCCCCCGACCCCGGGCGGCGGUCACGGCCGCAGCACCUGCAGGACGAACU